GCCUGGCUAGCUCAGUAGGUAGAGCAUGGGACUCUUGAUCUCAGGAUCAGGGUGCCAACCCCAGACACUGGGGG